rnacentral:rRNA from 1 species
GAGACCCACGCCCACAGUUGCCAGCAUGUCCUCCGGGAUGGUGGGGACACUGUUGGGACCGCCUCUGCUAAAGAGGAGGAAGGAACGGGCAACGGUAGGUCAGCAUGCCCCGAAUUAUCCGGGCUACACGCGGGCUACAAUGGUCAGGACAAUGGGUAUCGACACCGAGAGGUGAAGGCAAUCUCUUAAACCUGUCCUUAGUUCGGAUUGUGGGCUGCAACUCGCCCACAUGAAGCUGGAAUCCGUAGUAAUCGCGUCUCAAAAUGGCGCGGUGAAUAU